AAUUAAUUUCACUCUUCACAAGCCACAAAAAUAUUGACAGCUUAGUAGAUAACAGUAAGUGAACACUUAAAACUUGUUUUAUUCCUAGGACUUUAUUCCCCAUACAGAUAAAUUUGCAUUCUCAUACUGAAUGUAAACACUUAAAGAUGGAUUUAACUCUACAGCUAGAAUUCCAUAUUAAAUUAUAUUUCACUAUUCCCUAACUAAAAACUUUUUUUUCCCUGAGUAAGGGAUAUGUUGAGAUUUACAUAAACAGCACUUCACAUGAUACCGGGAUUUCAAAUUUUUAAAAAGAUGCAGAGUUCACUUCCAAUAAUGGCAAAGUAGCACACAGUAGAAGUAGUCAUAAAAAAAACUAUGACCAUCUCAACACGUACUCAUGAUAACCAGUAAAUGAAUAUUUAAGACGUUUAUUUCAGUAUCUUCAUUCCCCACUGUAAUACAUUUGAAUGCCCACGUAUUUGAGUUCCGUAAAUAGACUCUC
rnacentral:lncRNA from 1 species